rnacentral:snRNA from 1 species
UUGCUUCAGCAGCACAUACACUAAAACUGGAAUGAUACAUAGAAUAUUAGCAUGGCCCCUGUGCAAGGAUGGCAUGCGAAUUCAUGAAGUGUUCCAUAUUUUU